AAUACUGGACAAUGGGCGAAAGCCUCAUCCAGCCAUGCCGCGUCUUUGAAGAAGGCCGUCGGAUUGUAAAGCACCUAAAGUUGGGAGGAAGGGCAGUAAGUCACUACCUUGCUGUUUUGACGUUACCGUCAGUAUAACCACCGGCUAACUUCGUGCCAGCAGCCGCUGUAAUACGAAGGGUGCAAGCGUUAAUCGGAAUUAUUGGGCGUAAUGGAGGCGUAGGUGGUUUGUUAAGUUGGAAGUGACGACCCCGGGCUCAACCUGGGAACAGCUUUCAAAACUGGCAAGCUAGAGUAGGGCAGAGGGUGGUGGAAUUUCCUGUGUAGCGGUGAAAUGCGUAGAUAUAGGAAGGAACACCAGUGGCGAAGGCGACCACCUAGGCUAAUACUGACACUGAGGUGCGAAAGCGGGGGGAGCAAAC
rnacentral:rRNA from 1 species